rnacentral:rRNA from 1 species
ACGCACGCUGGCGGCGUGCCUCAUACCUGCCAGUCGCGCGAAGUUUUUCUGGUGCUUGCACUAGAAAAACUUAGCGGCGAACGGGUGAGUAACACGUAAAGAACCUGCCUCAUAGACUGGGACAACUAUUGGAAACGAUAGCUAAUACCGGAUAACAGCAUUAACUGCAUGGUUGAUGUUUAAAAGUUGGUUUUGCUAACACUAUGAGAUGGCUUUGCGGUGCAUUAGCUAGUUGGUGGGGUAAAGGCCUACCAAGGCGACGAUGCAUAGCCGACCUGAGAGGGUGAUCGGCCACACUGGGACUGAGACACGGCCCAGACUCCUACGGGAGGCAGCAGUAGGGAAUCUUCCGCAAUGGGCGAAAGCCUGACGGAGCAACGCCGCGUGAGUGAAGAAGGAUUUCGGUUCGUAAAGCUCUGUUGUUAGGGAAGAAUGAUUGUGUAGUAACGAUACACAGUAGAGACGGUACCUAACCAGAAAGCCACGGCUAACUACGUG